GAUGAAGAACGUAGCGAAAUGCGAUAAGUAGUGUGAAUUGCAGAAUUCAGUGAAUCAUCGAAUCUUUGAACGCACAUUGCGCCCCUUGGUAUUCCAUGGGGCAUGCCUGUUCGAGCGUCAUUUGUACCUUCAAGCUCUGCUUGGUGUUGGGCGUUUGUCUCGCCUCUGCGUGUAGACUCGCCUCAAAACAAUUGGCAGCCGGCGUAUUGAUUUCGGAGCGCAGUACAUCUCGCGCUUUGCACUCAUAACGACGACGUCCAAAAGUACAUUUUUACACUCUUGACCUCGGAUCAGGUAGGGAUACCCGCUGAACUUAAGCAUAUCAAUAAGCGGAGGA
rnacentral:misc_RNA from 1 species